UCCGGUUCUGGCCGGGGCGCAGGCCAGGUUUCAGGCCGGGCCUCGGGACGGGGCUCGGGCCAGGGUUCGGCCCGAGCAUCGGACC
rnacentral:tRNA from 1 species